CUGCCGCCCAGUUCUCCAGGAUGGGCUGGCAAGUGGUUUCAAAAGUAAACACAGCAGAGUCUUUUAUUUUUUUUAAGCAAUGUUAGAUGUUUCCUGUUCCAAAGUGUGCACCACAGCCCCUGGGCUCCGUGCCUGACUUUCUCCAGGGCAGACAUCUGGAGGAUGACUCAGGGACCCACACAAAGAGCUGUCUGCAGCCUGGACCCUACAACCCUGGGCACCCCAGUGGGACACCCCAAAAGAGCAGAAUGGCACGAGGAUGGAAAGGCCCCAACUGUGGGUUCUCCUUGCCUGGCUCUUCAUCCAAAAAAUUGAAAGCAGCAAAGGACCCACAAGAUUACUGUCAUGAGCCCCCAACCCUCCUGUUACAGAGGGAGAGAGCAACUGAAGCCAGAGUGGAGAAAGGAUCCUGUGUGGGCUGAACUGUGUUCUCCAAAAUCCAUGUGCUGAAAUCCUGAUCCCCGUUUCACAGAAUGGGACUGCACUUGGAAAGAAGGCCUUUAAAGAGGUGAUUCAGGUUCCGUGAAGGAUUUUAGAUGGAGUGACAUGGUCAUCUUCAGUCUCAGGCAGUUCAUUCUGGCAACAGAGGAAACCUGGAUGUUGGAUGGAGAGUUGAAGCAGACAGCCCAGGGGUCCCUUCAAUGAUGGCCUGUGGGGUAUGUUGCCCUCCCUGUCUCCUUGUGGCCCCCCAGAACAAGUGGGACAAUCCCAGGGAAGGCAGGUGGCUCUGCAGCCAUACAGCAGGGGAAUGUGCAGCCUCUAGGGGAAGGAGGCAGCACCCAGCCCUGGGGAUUAUUUUUUAUCAGAGCUCAAAGAGCAAAGCAGUCUGCAAAGUUGAAGAGUAGUUGAGAUCUCAUGCAUUCGAGUGCAAUCCCUGUACAAAACACCAAGAUACUUUAUAGAAACAUUAGGAGGCAGCAGCCUCCCUGUUGAUGAGUUCCCUCUUAAAUAAAAUCCACAUGUUAUUUAUGUUCUUUGACCCAGCUGUUAGCUCCCUAUAGAUGUUGAGAUAUAAGAAUAAUCUGGUAGUAAUAUUAUUCCAUUUGGAGCAGAUUCUUUGUUCUUAAGCUAAAAAGUGACUGUGGGAGAGAUCCACCAGGAUGUAUUAGGGGACUUGAGUAGCUUGAAUGAAGAGGGGAGAGGCAGACGUAGAAGCCAUCCACACAAGAUUGCAAAAACAGGAGAGCUGUGUCUCUAGGAAGGCUUUAUUGCUUUUCAAUAAUGUGAUAAGGUUCCUAUAAAAGUAAUUUAUAGACAGACUCUCAGCAAAGCUGGGAAGCUGAGCCUGUGAGUUUUAGAGAAGAACCCACAAGCUUCAACCAGGAAUUGUACUGAGUUUGUUUUUCACAGUUGAGGUCGCUGCUCUUUGCUCUCAGAUUUCAAAGUGAAAGGCACUGGCUGCAUUCUAACACAGGGGCAGCAGCCCGGCUGUGAGCUCUGUGAGUCAGGAGGGAAGCUAGAGAAUUUCCACAUCCCAGGUUCAAAACUGUGCAGAGCCAGGUGAUUGCCAGGAGCUUUGUGUUCAGUGAGGUGAUGCUCUCAGGGCAGGAGGCUGGGACCUGAUGCACACGGGCCUCCUCGGGGACCCAGGGACUGGCAGCAGGCAGGCCCCACAGGUUGGCCUUUGCCUUUACUCAUGAGCAUGCCUAGAUGUGGGAGUGGUUUCACAAAGGACAUGAAGUGAAAAAGACAACUCUCACCUUCUAUUUUAUGAUAGCAGCACUGUGAUUCUAACUUAGUGUCAGAUGGAACACUGGAGUUUUUGGCUGAACAGGAAAACGAAAGCCUCUCUAUUCGGUAACGUGUACCUUAGACCUCCAGACGCUGGCAGGUUCAGGCGUGUUGCAGGGAGUACCCAGGCCUGAGAACUGCAUGUGCAAAGGCCCUGGGCAGAGAGGAGUUUGGUUGGUUUUCAGCGGAGAGAGAAGGCUGAUGUGGCUGAAGCCUAUUGUGUGAGAGUGUCCAAAGAGAAGACAGAGCCUCAGCCUUCAAGGUCAUGUGGGCCAUGCUAAGAGCUGGAGAUGCCAAGGGCAUUGGAUCUGACAGCCCUGCAGCACAAGAGGCAGGUCCAGGGCAGUUGCAAGCCAGGCAGCGUGGACUCAGCUCUCAGUUCUCCUGCGAUUAACUGCUGGUUCUGGACAGACUCUUUAUCCCUUUCAUGACUCAGUCUUUUCAUCUGUAAAAUCACAAGAAUGUGUAGGUUUGCCAUGAGGAGUCAGGAGUAUGUAAAUGAUUGGAGUGGUAACAGCAUGGAGAAAGUCUUCUCUGAGUAUUGAUUAUGGCUCUGUCAGAUCAGAUCCAAAACCACCGGCAUCCAGCAGAGAUACAUUGACCCCCCGUCCUAAUUGGAGUGCUUUCUCCACUUUCUGUGAAACACGAUCAAACACACAUGAAGUCACAUUGAGCAACAGGACCUCCCGCAAAUAAUUUUGUGUUGACUCUUUGCAAAACACAUGCUGUAGUGCCAACCAAGUUCACAAAAGCCAUUGCUCAGAGUCUGUUUUUUUAACUUUUAAAUAAUAGCUCUGCAUUGCCUGGAAGAAUGUUAUUUACAUUUCCAAAUUUAAGGUUUGUGAAAGAAUUUGCCAGAAUAGAAUUUGAAAACUCAGCAAGUUUUUAGUUUUGUACCCAGUUUUACAAGUUUUAAAGUUUCCUUCAACUUCAAACAAAGCCAGUUCUCAUGUCCAAAUAUUGCAUCCAGCUCUGUGCAGAAAAUAGCUGUUAGACCUCUGUUUAAAAUCUGCCUCCACAUUUAUGCAAAUCAUAUAUAUUCUCAGCAUCUUGGUGCUUAUGACUCUUAUGUGAGGGAAAGGAAACUAACGUAUGUAUAAUUUUUAUGAAGACUAAAAGGGACUUACACCAUACAUGCUAUACUUGUUAUUGGAUAAAGGGAUGAAAAAUCAGAGUAGACACCAGUUUUGUUGGGCAGAUAUUUACUAGGCACUUCAGACUUUACAUAUAUUCACAGUUUCCUCCCCAGCACGUUGAGCUUUUCAGGAGGAACUUUGAAGAAACUGCCAGAAAUUUAGGAAAAGAGCUGGAUGGAGAAACAGAGGGUGUUUAAACAGGGCCACAAGAGAAGAUAUAAUAGGAGGUCAGGGAUAGAGAUUGAGUUCUACAGAAAGAAUACUGAGAUAAAAAUGAAGACAGUCUCUUAGAGUUGUUACACACAAUUUUGGCAGCGUUGCAUUGGCCACAGGUAGACUGACCUACAUUCAAGUAGGAAAACUAGACAAUUUAGCCGUAUGAUGUCUAGAUUAAAAUCCAACUUCUAAUUACUGGGUCAUUUUGGAUGCAUUCUGGGGAGCAGUUUUGCAAACCUUGAUCUAUCUCUGAGAAGUUUUGCCAGUUUUUCAGAAACUUUUUUAAUGCUCAUAAAUGUGAUUAAAUUUUUACUUGCUAUUCCUGUUCUCUUGAACUUUAAGUAGUGAAAAAGUAGAACAAAUAAUGCUCAUCAGUAGAUUUUCUGAGACAAUUUCUCAGACAAAUGAUGGUAAUAUAUGUAGUUUAAUUUGUCUAAGAAAUUCAUCUAAGGACAUAAUAUUUCAAGGUGAGGCUGAGGGCUGUCCUAAGGUGAGUGGGAGUGUGGGAGAUUUUAUUGUUGUUCUUUUGCUUUUCUGUAUUUUUCUCAUUUUUAUUAAUUUAUUUUUUUAAUUUUUUAUUGCAUUUUAGGUUUUGGGGUACAUGUGCAGAACGUGCAAGACAGUUGCAUAGGUACACACAUGGCAGUGUGUUUUGCUUCUUUUCUCCCCUUCACCCACAUUUGGCAUUUCUCCCCAGGCUAUCCCUCCCCAGCUCCCCCCACCGCUGGCCCUCCCCUUUUCCCCCCAAUAGACCCCAGUGUUUAGUACUCCCCUCCCUGUGUCCAUGUGUUCUCAUUUUUCAUCACCCUCCUAUGAGUGAGAAUAUGAGGUAUUUCAUUUUCUGUUCUUGUGUCAGUUUGCUGAGAAUGAUGUUCUCCAGAUUCAUCCAUGUCCCUACAAACGACACAAACUCAUCAUUUCUGAUUGCUGCAUAAUAUUCCAUGGUGUAUAUGUGCCACAUUUUUUAAAUGAACUUGGUUUUCUUUCAUAUUAGAAAAAAAGGCUAAAUAUAAAAGAAAAACAUCUGGAAUAUUCAGAGAUGUUUAAAGAAUAUUUUCUUUAAAGAAUAUUUUCAAUUCAUUUUAAGCCAAUGCUAUAUGGCUUCUAGGAAAAAUUUUCAGAAUUCAGCAUUAGGGGAUUGAGUGAAAGAUGGGCAGAUAUUGGGAAGAGUUUGGAAAAGGCAAACCUAGGUCUCUGAAACACCCCUUCCUCUACUGUCUUUUGGUGAACACCAUUGUUAUUGCUGAAUAUCCAAAGAUUUGGCUUUGCACAAGAGGAACUCAUGCUUAUGCCUUUUCACCAUUCUAAUCCAGAGGGACUGCUUCUGUGUUCCUGCUCAGAGAAGACAGGAGAGAAAGAAGCUGCACAGAUUUCCUUGUUUACUGUUGUUGUUGCUAUCAGAAUUUUUCCAGGAAUAGCAUGCAGCUUCUCCCAUAAGAACCUUUCAGGGGCAAGGACACUCACAAGGAUUUGAGGCUAUGCAAAUCUAAUCAAAUGGGCAUGGUGGCUCACACCUGUAAUCCCAGCACUUUGGGAGGCUGAGGCAGGUGGAUCAUGAGGUCAGGAGUUCAAGACCAGUCUGGCCAACAUGGUGAAACCCCAUCUCUACUAAAAAUAAAAAAAAAUUACCUGGAUAUGGUAGCACACACCUGUAGUCCCAGCUACUUGGAAGGCUGAGGCAGGAGAAUCACUUGAACCCAGGAGGUGGAGGUUGCCAUGAGCCACGAUCACACCACUGCACUCCAGUCUGGGUGACAGAGUAAGACUGUCUCAGGAAAAACAAAAGAAAAGAGAUGUGAAAGAACUCGUCAUUGCAUAUAUCUGGUGCAUAAUACAUGGCUCAGAGCCCUUGUGAUGAAGUAAUUAUAUGUAUCAUUGUAUGAACAAAGACAUAACUCUCAAUAUGCUUCUUGUCACACUGUUGAAUGUAUUCAAGAAUGGGAACCUCUUGUAAAUUCAUUUAUGUUUUAGUUCUGUGCAAUUCUGAAUUCUUCAGUAGGGCAAUGCUAUUAUUAUUGAAUUAGCAAGAUGCAGACCAAUGCUGAAUGAAACAUGUUUUCUAACUUGUAGCUCAGAAGGAUUUAGCAAUAUUGGUAUUUUCCUCUUUCUCAACAUUCCCAGAUUUUUGGCUAAGGCAUCUGUGUCCUCCAUGUGCUCCUUGUUAGAACAAUAUUGCCUCUUAUUUUAGGCGGAGUGCUUGGUGUCGCAGUCGGAACUAUGAUGUGCUUUCUUCUGGCACCAUCAGGGCACCUUCCCAGAGCUCUUCAAGAAAUGCAAGGAGGGCCAGGCUGUCUGAGACACUGACAAAACCUCCUUUAUGGGAUCAGAGGAGAUGGAGCAUCUGGUGUUUGACAAAACACUGGUUCACGUGAUGAAGUCACAUGGACUUUUGGAAAAGAACCCACUGUAUUGCAGGUGUCCGAUGCCUGCCACAGCACAUGAGUCAGCAGGGAUGAACACUCUGAGAGAGUUCUGAAGCACAGAGGUUGGUGUGAGUUUAGAAAGAAAACGCCUGAUCCUCCCCACUCAUGGGAAUUCCUACUGUGGUCUCAGCCAGGUAGCAUCUAUACCAUUUAAUAGAUUUAUAACAGCAGUUCUAUAUCAGAAACAGCAAGCUGGUCUUUGGUCACUGAGAUUCAUGAGGUCUCAGCUCAGUGUCACUGGAUAUCUGUGCACCAAAAUGGGGCAUAAAGCAUCUGCCUAAAGCAUUGGCACUGCCACCAGAAGCUAUGAAGGUAGAGCCAAGAUUACUGGACACCAACUAGAACAAAAGAACACCAUGAGAAAACAGGGUACUCUACUCGGCGGGGGCUGCCAUGACAAAGUACUCGACUGGGCAGCUGAAACAGCAGAAACAUAUGUCUCCCGCAGAUCUGGAGGCUGGGAGUAUGAGAUCAAGGCACUGGUAGGUUUUGUGUCUUCUGAAGCUGCCCUCCUUGGCUUCUUCUUAUACCUUCUCCUAUAUCUUUCCAUGCUCUUCCCCUACAUCUUCCCUGUGUCUUUACAUUGUCUUCCCUUUGUAUCCUAAUCGCCUCUUCUUAUAAGGACACCAGUCAUAUUAGAUUGGGGCCCACCUAACAGUCACAUUUUAACUUAGUCACCUCUUUAAAGGCUCUAUUUCCAAAUACAGUGACAUUCUGAGGAUCUGAGCAUUAAGAUCUCAAAAUACGCAUUUGGGAGAAGCACAAUUCAUGCCACAUCAAUGAGUAAAGAGGAAUUUGACAUCACUUACUUUUCCUUGACCACUUUCCCAAUGAUGGGGAAGGGCUAAGAUUAGCUUCAUGCCCCAGUGUGAGGCACCAUAUUUGAAUAUAAUACCAAAAAGCCAUUGAGACCAAUAAGGCAACUCAUACGAACACCUUCACCUUCCUUUGCUUAGCAAUUGCUGUAUUCCUUAUUUCUAUUUCCAUAUCUUAGAGUAAUUAUAGAACUUCCAGAAAGGUGGUAAAUCAUAAUACGUACCCUUCUUUGCAUCUGAUUUUAAAAGCAAUGCUUCAAGAAUUUCACUAUCACGGGUACCCACAAAUGAAUUUUAUUAGCUAUUUCUUGUCAUCCUCAUUGAUCAUUUAAUACAGUUCUUAUGAGAAUAUAUGUUGAAAUUUAAUGAAAGCCCCUUUGAUAGUUUUUGAAAUUAAUUUAUAUUAUUUACCCAUUGGCUAGUUUAUUUUAGAUAGUUUACUAAUGGACUUAUUUUUAAUAUAUCAGCAAUUUAUUCCUGAGGAUAAUUUAAACACAGACUGUUAUUCCUCAGAUAUGUGACCGAAUGCCAUUGGUAAGUAUUCAACUUAGGAUUUUGGCCUUGCUAUUCAUAACUGAAGUAAACCUAAAGUUUUCUUCUUUGUUUUAGUAUUUUCAGAUUCAGAUGCCACAGUUAUACUAACACAAAAAGAAGUUUGAGAAACUUUCUACAUUUCUAUUCUCUUUGGAGUUUACACAAUGUAAAGAUUAUCCCAACCUCACAAGCUUAAAUAAAAUGAUCAAUAUUGUCACCACGGAGACAUUCUCACUGUGUUCCUUUACCCUCAUCUCUAUAACUACUAUUUUAUUCAGGUUUAAUGAUUCUUUAGUUAAUCACAGUGAUUUUUUUUUUUUAGGAAAUAGUUAAUUUUAACCAAUUAAUGUGGAUAUAGUCUUCAUAUUUUCUGGUAAAAUUUGAAAUUUAUGUCUGUGGUUAGGUACCCUUUUUCAUUCUUAGUUUUUCAUAUUUAUGCCUUCUCUCUUUAUUUCUUCUUUUAUACUAGUCAAGUAUAUUCAUAUAACUGGAGUUGAUGUUUCCCUAACGUGCCAGCUCCUGCACAUGUCUAGUUGUUAGGAAGCCCUUCAACAGCAGGGAUGAUGAAAAAAUGAUGGGCCCAUUGCUCUCUGGCUGCAGGCUCAAUGAGUUCAAUUUCAUGAAGCUCCAUGGGAUGCAGACUUGGACAAGCUCCGCAAAUUACUCUGAUGCCAUCGUUUAUGAAUCACACCAUCCUAGAUUUCAAAGAAGUAUGUCACUGAAAAUAUGGGACACAUUAGUAUAAAGCCAUAAAUUGGUGUUAAUACCCUGAAUGAUCUGGACAAUUAAGGACAACUUUUUUAUUGUCCUCAUCUGAAGAAAAUUAACAGAGGAAUGGGAAACAAUCCCAUUCACGUUGAAUUUUAGAGCCAUUUUUGGAAGUUAUAAAAACAGUGGAAGAGAAGAGAAUCACUGAGGUGGACUUUUAGGGACUUUGCUUUUAACUCAAUGAGGAGCAAAGGCAAGUAUUUUAAGGAAGAGUACACUCUAAUGGUAAUAGUUUCAGUGCUGAUUAGUUAUCAUCUGAUGCAUCAGUCAGAAUACCAUAAAGGGGAGGACCUAAAAAUAAACGCAUUGCUUCUGUUGGGGGAGCACUCUGACCUAGGUGUCCUGGCACGCAGUUGCCCUACCGCACAUCAGCAGAGCUUUACUUCCUGGCAUUUGUUGUCAAGUGCCUUCUGAGCCAGACCCUCUCUUGGAAGCUGAGGGUGUGAAGAUGCAUAAAACACAAGCUGAUACUAUUUGCUUCCUCGCUGCCCUUCAUCAGCUUGCAGGGCACAGUGUUUCCCUGGUGUGUGUCCCCAUUUGUGAUACAUGUUUCCCAGGUUCGGCAUCUUCAAUUCACAUCCACUGUGGUCAGCACUUGUCCUGCUCCUGUCUCCAGAAGACAUCUUAGUGUCUUGUGUCAGCAGUUCCCUAACAUGCUCUCAGGCAAGUCUCCUGACCAUCAAGCUGAGAGAGGACUCUUCGCCCAUCAUCUUGGCUCCCCUCCUUGUUUGUCAUGUUUAUAAUAGUAACCUGAACAGGAUUCGGGUACAUAAACUUUCUAGGCUUUAGUUUCUUCAUGUCUCUUUGUAAGUUUGGUGUAUAUUUCAUGUGACUUUAUGGUAUGGUAAUUUUUUAGAAUGCCUGCACGCAGGCAGCAUAGUUGAGGGACUCAAGAGCAUACAGGUGAACACUCAGGGUGAUGGGAUUUCUGAUCAUGAUGGUGUUUGCAAACAAUGUCUAGCAAUGUAGCUUUGUGAAUUAGUAUAAUCAAAUGGGGUUGGUGAUUUAAUUAAUAAUAAUAAUAAUGCAAACAUGUUGGCUCUUCCCUGACAUGCCCAUUACAAGCAACACUGCCUUGGACUCAAGGUUUGCGUUCCUCUCUGUGGGCUUAGGACAGUGGGCUUGACACGGGAAAAGGGCACUUUGAGUGAACUGACUUCUGUGAAUGGAAGAAGCUGCUUAUCUCAAUCCAUGAUACCUGUGAAGCAUUGUCUCUCUAAUCUCACAAGGUCUGGGAAAAUGAGGGGACUCAAGAUUUAUGAAAUAAGAAUGAUCACACUUAACUUACAACAUUAUUGAGAAAAAUGAUUAUGAGAGUAUGUUCUGAACUGUUGGCAAAUUGCUGAGAAAAUGUGAGGGACAUGUGUUACCUCCUUCAAGGGAAACAUUCUAAAUAGAACAAGACUUCUAUCCCCAAACUGAUAAGAACAUGAAAACAACCAUUUCUGGUAUAUCUGGGCUGUAAAUCUUUGAACUUCAGACCCAAAUGAAAUUCCAUCUCUCACAUUUUUUAAUGAAGUCAAAAUAAAUGCAAUUACCGAACAGAAGCCAAAGAUCACAGGAGGUUAUAAAUGGAGCGAGGGUAUGGUCAACACUGUUUGUUUGCAUUCUGGCUCUGUUUUCUUGCUGAAUAUUUCAGUAAUGGGAGGCUGCCAGGGGGCAGGGAUGGCCCUUCCUUCCUCCUGAUGGAUGUCUGCUGCUGAUUAAAUCCGUGCUGGGUUAGCUGCGUGGUGACUGGGAAAUGUGAGACCCUAAUGAGGGCAUAGGCAAGUAGAAUGUGAGAGAUUGAAGCCACAAGAUAUUCUAAUCCCCGGAGGAAGGGAUUUUUCCAAAGACCAGGCAUUUGCUAUGGAAAGCAUGCUUAGGAAUACCCUAAUAAGCACGUAUCUUUCCAUGCUCUCUCACUGCACCCAUCCUCCAAAGACCUUGAAACCCACAGUUUUUUCCUUUCACCCAAGUGAAGGCCAACAUACAAAUGAGUAGCUUACCCCAUGGGAGGUCUAUUCCUUUAGCAAAGCUGGGACCUAUAAUUAAUACUCCGGUUUGUGAUUAAAUCUGCUGCUCUUUGCUUGCAAUAUCCGUAUCAUUGGAUUUUCACAAAAUCAUGAUGGCUGCUAAAACCAAAGAGGCAACACAGAGAGUAAGUAAUUAGCCAGGACCUAUUUCAGCAAAUCUGUUUCUUAGAGAAACUGUCUUGUUAGACCACGAGCAAUUUCCGCUGGUGUUAAGUCCCGUUCACUUUCCUUAAACCCUAUCAUGUAUUCAGGGUAAACAGUCUUGGUGCCUCCUGCCUGGGGUCUUUGUCAAUAUUCAGUUGCAGUUGGGUAUAAUGAGUGCCCCUGAUCACAAAGAAAUUCAAAAUAAGGCUAAAACAUGAGAUUUGUGGUUUGUACUGUGAGUGCACUUGUAUUUCACUUCCACACAGGUAACUCUCCUGGCUUUGACAUAUUUCUGAACUCUCUUUGACACUCAUAAUUUCUCUUCAAGACAGAAGAUGAUGUUACUCAAAAGAAAACAGCCAGGCACAGUGGCUCACUCCUAUAAUCCCAGCACUUUCGGAGGCAGAGGUGGGAGGAUGGCUUGAAGCUAGGAGGUCGAGAUCAGGAGUUAGUAACGUAGCAACUCUGUCUCUACAAAAGAAACAUUUCUUUUUCAUUAGCCAAGUGUGGUGGUGCAUGCCUGUAGUCUCAGCUACUGGGAAGGCUGAGGUGGGAUGAUCCCUUGAGCCCGGAGGAAGAGGCUGCAGACAGUCAUGACGGCACCACUGCACUCAACAAAGUGAGUGUCGCAAAUUGAAAAAAGAAAAAUGAUAAAAAACAGAAUGAGUUCAGUUCAUGUUUGUGCCCAGUGGAGCUGCACACACUAGGCUGCUGUCAUCUUACAGACUAUGCUUCCUUACCCCAAACGCAGACCACAAUCAGCGGCCAAGCGACAGACCUGCACCCACUGUGUUUCCAACGAGGCCAAGGUGGCUUUUCAAUCCCAAACAAGGGAUAGCCAAUGACUUCAGUUUUCCCGUGCCUCACUAGACUGCCAUUGGGAAAUGUGUGUGUAGGGAGUCCUUCAGAUGCAACUGUUGUUUAUGUUAACUUGUGAGCUGUGGGAAAGAGAGUCGUGCCCUCCCCAGCCAUCCUGCCAGCGCUCCCAAAUAUAUGCAAUACAGGGAGUAAGAUACUUAUUCCGGAUCACGUUGCUAAAUGUUUUGCUUCUCUGCUUCACCAAGAGAAGUCUCCAAGAUAACUGUCGAUUUCAGUGGGUGCUGGGCAGUCGAGUCCUAUGUCCGUAGGCACGUUGGUCCCUUCAGCUGGCAAAGCCACAGAGGAGUGGAGAGCCAAGGCCACUAGAAGCCCAGGAUCACCGCAGCGGUCAGGACUGUCACUUACUGACGUGGAUCUAAUCCAGGACUAAUGACCCUGCUGAUGGGGUACACUAAGUGUUUCCAUCCUUCUUUUUGGGCUUUGUUUACAGAAAGAAAAGAUAGCACAGAAAUACAUAGGAAACCAGCUUCUGAAAGUGGCUCUCAACUCCCCCUUAUUUUUUUCUUUUAAAGUAAAAGGUCUUAGUGACAAUUGGCUGAGAGUUUGAAUAAUGCUUACCAGGCUUCUGUGUAGGGAGCAAUGAAGAUGUAAGAGACACUGUGAAGGAGAAUGCUUGGCUGGCUAAUGUAUGUGCCUGGUAGUGUACACAUUCUGAUUUCAGCCCCUAAAGCAAUACGUUCACAGUAAACUCCUGCUCUAAAAUAAUGACUGAACUGCUCUUUUUAAGAAAUGAGGUAGCUAUGUCACCACAUAAGACCCACAAGUGAGCUGUUGCAUUUUGGUACAUUCCUACCCAGGACACACGGGCAAGACGGCUGGCUGCUGGGGAUGGAAGCAGAGAGUUUGGGAGCAGAAAGAAAGCUUACCGGGAGGUUGCUAACUAGCUGUAUUUGUGGAACACAGCACCCAGGGUUGAAAGAAACAUGGUUUUGCAGUUAAUUGCUAAUAUUUGAAAAUCCAGAAGCUUUACAUAAGAAUCCCGACUUUCACUGCCUCUUGGGAGAACAUCUGCUUUCCCUCUGGCCCAGCACUGGAGCAGGGAAGGAUGAUCUUCUUUGCUAGGCAUGCUCCCUGCCCAGCCCCUGCUUGCUGUCUCCCACCUGUGCACAUGUGAGUCUUAAAUAAACCUCACAUCUGUUGAUGUUCACAGCCCACCCCUGUUACACAGCCCAGCACAAAAUCACACCCAGCUCGAAUCUAUCCCACAAAUGAAAGGGUCUGCACCAUAUAGGAGAGAGUCAGAAACUGGCAGAAAUGUUCUGACUGAAACCAUGCCGGAGCAUAAGUCCCUCCUGAAUUCCAACCAUGUGUGCUUGUCUUAAAGUGCUGACCCUGGAGGCCUCAGUGUCGCCAGGACUCUGUCCACUGUGCGGCAAGAUGAGCUGCGAACAUUUCACAUCUCCCUGCAGGCCUGAACCCCCGGCAGACACCGCACCCUGCACCCGCCACAGAACAGCGACUGAGUGUCCAGUCCAGUGGCUCAUGAGGUGUGGAAGGAGGAAGAAACAUGGACUCUGCUCCGUGAUAAAUGAGUCUGCCCCGGGAGCACAACACACCCCCUCCAUGGCCUCAUUAAUCACCCGCUCCACUGGGCAGACAGACUGGCAGUGCUGGAAUUUGAUCCCCAUUUCACAGAUGGGGGGCCAAGGCAGCAGGAGGUUAAGUGAAUUCUAGAGACCACACAGCAAGAGCAUGGGGGAGCCCAGCCUGGCCACUGCCCCAAGGCCCCAAAGUCCCCAUAGGACCCCUCAUGAAGAAGCAGGGGCUGGCAGGAGGGUCCCAGUGGAGGAGCACUGGACUUGGGUGGGGCUGCAGCAGGAUCCCCGAAGGCCUGGCUUCACAUACCUCUCGGCUUGGGGCUUCUACCAAGACACUUCUCAAGUGCCCCUUUCCCUGCCUUUAAAAGAGCUGCAAUAAUAGUCACCCUUGAUUUGAGAUCCAUUUAUUAAUAGAAUUUCCAUAUGGAGAGUCUCCAGCACACUCUGGACAUUCGGGAAUGCCGACUCUUUGACCCUGUGCCUUGCCCACAGUAGACACCUAUUACCUCCUCUUAUUCCUGGACUAAGAAAUUGUGUGUCCCCCAUGAACCCAGGAGGCCUGGGGAGGAUAGGCAGGGCCAGUCUAGGCUGUCUACGGCUCUGAGGGAGCCUACAGGGUUUCAGCCAUAUCCAUUUCUGACACUGAGAAAUCACUGUGAUUAUAAACAUCACCUUCCCCCAAAGUCCCCACAAAUCCCUGCUACUUACAUGCUCUUUGCCUGUCCACAUUUAUGAGAAGUGUUUUCUUCCUUUCUAAAGAGACCUACCUACACAGCAGAUGAAUAGCUGAGGCAUUCUCCUUCCUGUUAUGUCACAUUACUUAGCGAAGAAUGUCCUAUUUCACCACUGAUCUCAAACUAAACUUGAAUUGCUUUUCAAAUUAUUCAUAACAGUGAGUUAAUAACUGUGAAUCAAUGUCUGGUGUUGGCUAUUAAAAGAGAGACAGUGAAGCAGUGAAUAGUGAAUAGAGAAUGACAUGUAAAACCCACUUGUCUGUUAAGAUCGGAAAGCUUGCAUGGCCUGUGUUGGGGACCCGUGGAGGUCACCUCAGUCUCUCAGCCUCCUGCUGCAGGCCCCACACCCCCCAUGUCUUUCAGUCCCUCCCAGGGCCACCCCCUCCUCCUUGCCCUGCCCGAAUUCUGGCUCUCAGCCUCCGUCUCCUUCCUGGUCAGUGCUGACCAUCUUCCAGCCCUGACUCCCUGCUUAUUCAUUCCUUGCCUACUCUCCACACCAUAGCCAGAGUGUCUUCCACAAUGCAAAUCCAACCCUGUCCCCACCCUGCUUAGUCUUUAGUGACUGUCCUCAGCCUACAGAAGGGGCACACAUCAGUCUGCCAGAGCGAGUCCCACCUCCCUACCAUGGCUGCUUCCAUCCUACACUCUAUCUCCCUCUGAGCCCCUGGCAUUCUCCUCAGCCGCCAGUGCUCAUCGCACUCUAGUGCCUGUCCACCUGUCUUCCCAUCUCACCAUCGUGCAUCUGGAGUGGCCAUCUCACUGCUUCUGACAUCCUCUGGCAGCUGCCCUCUCCGUGCUUAGAGCCUCUCUGGUACCCCUCAUCAGUGAUUAAUCCUCUAAGGGCUCAUCUUUAUCACAUGCCUGCUGGUUUGUAGUGCUUGGUGGCUUCACUGUGACUCCAGGUUGAAUUCAUUUUUCUUCAUCCUUGUUGGGAUGUGAUAUGCAAUGCCAGCUGAGGAUUUAUCGUGUCUGGAAAGUUCUCAGGUGUGACGACUUUGAGAUGCAUCUCCUACAUCCUCUCUCUUUUCUACUUUCAGGACUCCUCUUAGCCAAUUAAGAUCUUCUUUUGUUAUUAUUAUUGUUUUUUGAGACAGGGUCUCACUCUUGCAGGCUGCAGUGCAGUGGUGUAAUCACAGCUCACUCUAUCCCCAACCUUCCCAGGCUCAGGUGAUCUUCUUGUUUUGCCUCCCAAGUAAUUGUGACCACAGGCAUACACCAUCACACAGGCUAAGUUUUGUAUUUUCUUGUAGAGACAGGGUCUGACUAUGUUACCCAGGCUGGUCUUGAACUCCUAGGCUCAAUCGGUCCUCUCACCUCAGCUUCCCCGAGUGCUGUGAAUACAGGCAUGAGCCACUACACCUUGCCCUGUGAGGUAGGGGCUUCUUAUUCUCUACUCAAACUUUGGUUUGCAUUUUCUUUUUUUUUUUUUUUGAGACGGAGUUUCGCUCAUUACCCAGGCUGGAGUGCAAUGGCGAGAUCUCGGCUCACCGCAACCUCCGCCUCCUGGGUUCAGGCAAUUCUCCUGCCUCAGCCUUCUGAGUAGCUGGGAUUACAGGCACGCACCACCAUGUCCAGCUAAUUUUUUGUAUUUUUAGCAGAGACGGGGUUUCACCACGUUGACCAGGAUGGCCUCAAUCUCUUGACCUCAUGAUCCACCCGCCUCGGCCUCCCAAAGUGCUGGGAUUACAGGUGUGAGCCACCGCGCCCAGCCUUGGUUUGGAUUUUCUAUCUCCAGUUUCUUCAGUUUGAUCAUGCAAGCAAUCAAUUUGUCUUCACUUAAGUCCUAUCUGUAGGUACAUUAUUUUUUUAUGUCAGUUAUUCGAUUUUUUUUCUGAAAAUGCAAAUUGAUUAAUUUUCUCUUACUUGAUUUGUUUUUCCACACAGGCUCUAUUAUUCCAUUUCCAUUUCUAGUCCUUCUUUUAUCUCUUCCCUUUCAUGCAUUAGAACAUGCUUAUUUUUAGUCUCUUUCAGAUAGAUAGAAUAUCUCGAGUUCUUAUGUGCUAUUUUCAUGUGUGUCGUGUCUGUUAAGUCUUUCUCACAGUUGAUAGCUUUCUUGUAUAGUUUGUAAUUCUUAUUUCAAAAUUCAUGUUCCAGGGGAGUUAUUUAUCUCUCGGUGCUCUGGGCAUCCUGGUCUGUGGAAAGUUUCACAAAGAGUGGCUUAGCCUUUGAUUUUGCAGGGCACCUGCCUAAAUCCCAUUUCAUGCUAAUUUCUGGGGAUUCCCAUACCAUGUGGGAAUAUACACUUGUGCUCCCUAUGGCCUCUGUACCUGACCCAUGCAUGAUACCUGACCCACGCCACACUCCAAGCUGACAGUGGCUUCAUCCCUGCUUCUGUUCUAAGCUUCCCUUUGUGGAAGGACAGACCUUUCCGAAUUCCAACUCUGAGUAGAACGUCUCAGUUCAGCCUCUAACCUUCUGCAGGUCCUUGACCCCACCUUCCAUCCCAGCAAGGGCAUUUGGUCCCCAGCCCCGAGCCAUGAGCCUGUCUGUCCAGAUGACUCUGCCCCUCUGCCAGCCAAUGCACCUGACCACAAGCUUCCUUAGCUUUAAGUUUCCUUUUCAUUUCUGGCAUAUGGGGAUUUUUUUUCUUUCUGUUAAGUUCAGUUAUAUGCCUGAAAAGACUUUAUUUUGGUUUCACUUAUUCAGGAUUUUUCUGCUUUUAUAACUGGAAAGUACCACACAAUGGAUCUAUCCUCUGUUGCAUGUACUAGAACCUUCCCAAUGGAGUCUGUGGGCCUCUGAUUAGGACAUAUGGUUUAUUCAGCAUUCAGCACGUGCCUGCAAUGUAGAAGAUAUUUAGACUUUUAACUACUGAGUAAGUAAAAACCCAAAGUGAAUCUCAUCUCCUCCAUUUGGCAACCAGAUCAUAGGAAAGCCAUAAAAUCCCUCUAGGCCUCAGUUUCUUCAUUGUCAAUUCAAAUGAAAGCAACUCUUCCCCUUGCUGCCUCACACAAAGAAUGGAUGUGAAAAUCAAUGAAAUAAUGUUACAAAAGAACUUUUAAAACUUCUAAAGAACUAGAUAAGUAAAAUCACUAACAUGGUUAUUGUAAUCAGGCAAAAUAAUAUCAUUCACUUAUUUUUCAUCAGAAUACAGAGAACAAGAGAGGACUGCACUUCUGUGGCCUCUGCCUGGGGACAUCAAACACCUAAAGUAACAUCAUGAAACUGUCCAGAAAGCUCUGGGAUGCUCAGCACAUUUUCCUUAAAAUAUAGACCCUUCAGCUGAGCACAGUGGCUCACACCUGUAAUCCUAACACUUUGGGAGGCCGAGGCUGCUGGAUCACGUGAGGUCAGGAGUUCGAGACCAGCCUGGCCAACACGGAGAAACUCCAACUCUACUAAAAUACUAAAAAUGAGCCAGGCAUGGUGCUGUGCACCUGUAAUCCCAGCUACUCAGCAGACUGAGGCAGGAGAAUCACUUGAACCCAGGAGGUGGAGGUUGCAGUGAGCUGAGAUCAUGCCAUUGCACUCCAACCUGGGCGAAAACAGUGAAACUCCAUAUAUAUAUAUAUAUAUAUAUCCUUCCUCUGCACUUCUGUAUUCAAAUAUUUCAUAUAGCAAAGCUCAAACUUCUCCCUUUACACUUGGUUCUGCCACUUAUCCUGUCUCUGUCCAGCGUUGCAGGAAGGUGAAUUCAAUGUCGGCAGCCUCACUGAGUGUCACCAUCUUAUCCUAAGCAGCAAUUCUCUCUCUGGCCCUUGGUUUCUAUCUAAUGGCCUACUUUUUUUUUUUUUUAAACCACAUACUUAUUGAAUGCCAACCAUGCAACAAUGAGCCAAGAGAUGUAUCUUUUCUCACCUUUGGGGCUUAAAGGUACUGGUGGUGUGGGAAAAAAUUCAGCAAACGUGUUAUCAGUGGAAGCAUUUGGUAUAAGAGUAUUUUUCCUUAGCUUCACUUGUUCUAGACCUAAUCAAACACUUUUCAAUAAGUCAACAGAACUCUCUUCCUAAAACCGUUUCCUUUUUCACCUUAACUCUGGCUUCUCUCCCACACAUGCUUCAUGGCUUCCUGACCUGCUGCCUCUGCGGUGCUGCUGCUGCCUCCACCAUUCUCAGGUUUUCCAAGUCUCCCCAGAGCACAAGGCUGAGCUCCCAUCCGUCCUCUGCACGUCCUCUGCCCUCUGCAUUCAGAGGAGCUGGCAUCCUUCUCUUCACUUCAGCAGGUGAAGCUGUCUGUGCCUCUUUCAGCUUUUCCGGCUGUCAGACACUGCAUUUAGUUAGGCAAUUGCCUUCUCCCACAUUCGAAGGUUUUUGUAAACUGAGCCUCUAUUUUCCCUAUUUACCUUGGCAUCCCCAUAGAACCAAGCAUAGCAUUUCACCUAAAAUUGGUACCUAGUGAUAUGUCCAGAACUUAGUUUAAUUUGGAUGUAUAUGUGGUAAGUUUUCAAUGCAAACAGAACCAUUGGGAAAGAAUAAAACAAUAAAAUGAACAAAACGACAAAACUCCAUGCAAUAAUAAAUGAAGCAAAAUCAAAUUAAAAUUGUUCAUUAAUCAGUACUACAAAGUGACCAUUGGCAAUUUGUUUCUUUAAUCAUGAGAAUACCUUAGAAAGAUCUUAGCCCAUUGCUUCGAACCCAGGAUCCUAAGAACAUUUCUCACUGGGCUCUGUACAUUCUUCCUGCAGUAUCAUUUUUCCUGUUGAGCAGAUGCACAAAUCAAAGCACAGAAAGGAAAAGUCAUGGAGGACACAUAUUCCCUGGUCACAGUCAGAGCCAGAAAUAAGACAGAGGCCUUUGUAGCUCACCCUUUGGCCAAUGGCUCACCUGCCUUUGCACAGUAGUGAUUGUCAUUAGCUAUGAAGCACAGAAAGUAUAGUUCCUGGUUGUCUGUGAACAAUGAGGCAUUUCAGAUCAACAUGGGAGGAGGAAUAACAUGGGAUUGAUAGCUAAUGUGCAUUCAUUCAUUUAUUAGCUCUCAAAUAUUUGGUAUGCAUUACAAUAUAGGGGAUGAGGGGAUGAAGAGGGAAUAAAUGUUUCUAACAAGGACCCCAGAGGGUUCUGAUGCAGGCAGUCCUUAGACCAUCCUUGGUGCAAUUGAACUAGAUGUGCACAGUUCAACGAGGAGUGAGCCAGAUCUUUUCACUGUUUUCAACUUUUUUUUUAACUCUAAAAAAUAUCUUGCAGAUAGUUCCAUAUCAGGACAUAUUGGUGCCUAUUAUUCUUUAUACAGCUGCAGAAUAUCUCGUAUCUUUUAGCCAGUCCCGUGGUGAUGAAUAUUAUCUAAAAAAUAUCUUGCAGAUAGGUCCAUAUCAGGACAUAUUGGUGCCUAUUAUUAUUCUUUAUACAGCUGCAGAAUAUCUCAUAUCUUUUAGCCAAUCCCAUGGUGAUGAAUAUUUAGGUUGUUUCCAAAUGUAUACUAGAUUUGAAAGAGGGAGAGACAGAGAGAGAGGGAUCACAUUGAUAUUUUGUACAUACAUUAUUCCACAUAUGUGCCAAGUAUAUCUUAGAAGUGGAAUUUCUGAAUCAAAUAACAUGUACUAUGUAAAUUUUUAAUAGAUAUUUCCAGAUUAUCCUUCAUAAAGGCUGAACCUGACUAUGUAGUUUUAAAACAAUAUAUAUUUACUUGCUACUAUGAAUAAUAAUGCAUUGUUUAAGUUUUCAUCCUUUUCCAAAAAAUUUUGCUAAGUUUUUUUUUUUUUUGAAAUGGAGUUUCGCUCUUGUUACCCAGACUGGAGUGCAAUGGCGCGAUCUCGGCUCACUGCAACCUCUGCCUCCUGGGAUCAGGCAAUUCUCCUGCCUCAGCCUCCUGAGUAGCUGGGAUUACAGGCACUCGCCACCAUGCCCAGCUAAUUUUUUGCAUUUUCAGUAGAGACGGGGUUUCACCAUGCUGACCAGGAUGGUCUCAAUCUCUUGACCUCGUGAUCCACCCACCUCAGCCUCCCAAAUUGCUGGGAUUACAGGCUUGAGCCACCGCGCCCGGCCUUUGCUAAGUUUUUUUUUAAUUGCCUCAUAACACUAGAUAGAACCUUUUGAGCAAUGCUGAGUAGAGCCAGUGAGAACAGACAUAUUUCACCAUUAUCAUGUUAGCCCCUUUCAUAUUAAUGAAAUUCCCUUGUAUUUCCAGUUUGCUGAGAGUCCAUUUUCUAAAUCAGAAGUAGAUGUUAAAUUUUGGCAAGUGCUUUUACUGCAUCUAUUAGGAUAAUUAUAUGUUUUUCUUUUAUUCUAUUAAUGUGAUAAAUUAUAUUGAAUGAUUUUAAAAUGCUAAACCAACACACAAUCCUGGAAAAAACCCUACUUGUUUAUGAUGUUUAUAUUUUUAUGUCUUGUUGGAUUCAUUUGUUCAAUUUUUCUAAGAAUUCAGUGUCUGAGCUCUUAAGAAACAUUGUAGUUUUCUUUUCUUGUAAUGCCUUUGUUUGGGUUUGGUUUCAGAGUUACACUGGCCUCAACAGUGUGGGGCAUGUUCCUUCAUUGAUUUCAUGUUUGUGUAACAUUGGUACUUUUUUCUUUAACAUCUGAUAGAACUUAACAGUGACUCUAUCUAGGCUCAGACAUUUCUUUUUGUGGGGUUGAUAGUGAAUUAAAAUGCAUUUAUUACUAAGGGUUGAAAUAGAAAAAAAUCGAGAGCUGCUCUAGAGAAACACACAUGUGUACGAAACAUGUACAAGAAUGUCCAUAGAGUGGUCUGCAGCUGGGGGACAGGGGAAAACCACAUGCCUGUCAUUGUCAACUUGGGCUCCUUUAACGAAGUGCCAUCAACUGGGUAGUUUAUAAGCAACUGAAAUGCAAUUCUUGCAGUUCUUCAGGCUGGACGUCCAUGAUCAGGUGCCAGCCUGAUUGGGAUCUGGUGAGGUGUCUCUUUGGGGUCAUAGACUACCAGGUUCUUGCUGUGUCCUCACUUAGUGGAAGAAGACUCAGAGAUUUCUUUGUAGGAAAUUUUUUGAUGAUGA